rnacentral:lncRNA from 1 species
AAAGACACGGCUACUUAAACCUACCUCUCUCAAUCUGUCACUUCCGUUCAACAAACUCACCACCUAGCCACCGGUUCGACCACAAUUCUUUCCACAACAAGAUAUGUAAUUUCUGAAAAUAUCUUUUUAUUUUUCUUUUGACGAUUCAUGUGUUUCUUAUUUUUGGGAUGAUGAUGAUGAUGAUUAUCAUUAUUAUUAUUAUUAUUAUUAUUAUUAUUUGGAGAGCAAUAGGAAAUUGUUAGAAGCCGUGACCGUGAACGAUCAUUGCAGAUUUUUAUUAUACAUGUCUUGUUGGCAUGAGAUAGUUUCUGCAAUAUUUCUAUUCAAAGUCGUGAAAUCGACUUAUCCACUACUUCAAAAUCAGAUUUAAGAUCAAACGUUUUCUUUCCAUUGAUAUAUUCAUGCAAAAUUAAGAAGUAAAUACCGUUGGCACUUAGUAUAUUUUAGAAAACUAUUUUCUCUUUCAAACAGGGAAUCUAUUGUUUGCUUGUCCAAAUGCUCACAUGAUGGUCGAUGAAGGGCAAUUGGACAAAUAUUGCUUAUACUUUUCUUGAAAUCUUUUCACUUGCCUUUAUUUUGUAUUUUCGGCUGCUGUCAUGUUCAGGAAAAAGCUUCAUCAAUCAAGGGAGAGAGCAAAACAUAAUACAAGACAGUGAUUUCAAGUAGUGUUAGACUAUAAUGUCAGAUAACUACAAUGAAUUUCUCGCAACGGUUUAGUCUCCAUUUUGAAGUCUCUUAGAACCUAUUUUGUAACCUUUGUCUGGUCUAUUGUUGUCUUUGUGUUCGGAUUUGAAGACGCGUAUAUGAUAAUAAUUUAGUAUCAUAGCUGAUGGCAAGUUUGAGAAAUUUUGUUUCAGACAUAUUCAAGGAUUUUAGAGGUUACCUUUUGAUAAUGAGUGGAUAAUUUAUACGUAAGUCAUUGAAUUUUGUCUGUUGUAAUGGUUCGACAUCUGAUGUACUUCGCCAUUUUUGGAGUAGGACUCAUACUGAGGGGUGCUCUGUGUUCCUAGUGUAAUGUUUUUGUAUCAAUGCCAUCCAUAUGGAACAAGUAAAAAG